rnacentral:rRNA from 1 species
GGGCCCGCACAAGCGGUGGAGCAUGUGGUUUAAUUCGAUGAUACGCGAGGAACCUUACCAGGGUUUAAAUGCAGAACGACAGGGGUGGAAACACCCCCUUCUUCGGACGGACUGCAAGGUGCUGCAUGGUUGUCGUCAGCUCGUGCUGUGAAGUGUCGGGUUAAGUCCCAUAACGAGCGCAACCCCCAUUUCUAGUUGCCAGCGGUUCGGCCGGGGACUCUAGAGAAACUGCCAGCGUAAGCUGUGAGGAAGGUGGGGACGACGUCAAAUCAUCACGGCCCUUACGUCCUGGGCCACACACGUGCUACAAUGGUAGGUACAGAGGGCGGCCAACUUGCGAGAGUGAGCGAAUCCCAAAAAGUGCGUCGUAGUCCGGAUUGGAGUCUGCAACUCGACUCCAUG